CCUACGGGGGGCAGCAGUGGGGAAUAUUGGACAAUGGGGGGAACCCUGAUCCAGCCAUGCCGCGUGUGUGAAGAAGGCCCUCGGGUUGUAAAGCACUUUCAGUGAGGAAGAACGCCUGGUGGUUAAUACCCAUCAGGAAAGACAUCACUCACAGAAGAAGCACCGGCUAACUCCGUGCCAGCAGCCGCGGUAAUACGGAGGGUGCGAGCGUUAAUCGGAAUUACUGGGCGUAAAGCGCGCGUAGGUGGCUUGAUAAGCCGGUUGUGAAAGCCCCGGGCUCAACCUGGGAACGGCAUCCGGAACUGUCAAGCUAGAGUGCAGGAGAGGAAGGUAGAAUUCCCGGUGUAGCGGUGAAAUGCGUAGAGAUCGGGAGGAUUACCAGUGGCGAAGGCGGCCUUCUGGACUGACACUGACACUGAGGUGCGAAAGCGUGGGUAGCAAACAGGAUUAGAUACCCCUGUAGUC
rnacentral:rRNA from 1 species